AGAGUUUGAUCCUGGCUCAGAUUGAACGCUGGCGGCAGGCCUAACACAUGCAAGUCGAGCGGAUGAAGGGAGCUUGCUCCCUGAUUUAGCGGCGGACGGGUGAGUAAUGCCUAGGAAUCUGCCUGGUAGUGGGGGAUAACGUUCCGAAAGGAACGCUAAUACCGCAUACGUCCUACGGGAGAAAGCAGGGGACCCUCGGGCCUUGCGCUAUCAGAUGAGCCUAGGUCGGAUUAGCUAGUUGGUGAGGUAAUGGCUCACCAAGGCGACGAUCCGUAACUGGUCUGAGAGGAUGAUCAGUCACACUGGAACUGAGACACGGUCCAGACUCCUACGGGAGGCAGCAGUGGGGAAUAUUGGACAAUGGGCGAAAGCCUGAUCCAGCCAUGCCGCGUGUGUGAAGAAGGUCUU
rnacentral:rRNA from 1 species